GUGCUCCCUUUGACAGCACACAUAUACUAAAAUCGGAACAAUACAGAAAUUAGCAAGAUCCAUAUAAAAAUAUGACAUGAAAAAUCAUGAAACACUGCAUUUUUUU